rnacentral:rRNA from 1 species
AGUUGAGCGGAGAUUAUGGAGCUUGCUUUAUAUAACUUAGCAGCGAACGGGUGAGUAACACGUAGAUAAUCUAUCCUAUACUGGGGGAUAGCCCGAUGAAAGUUGGAUUAAUACCGCAUAUAGCUAUAUAGUUGCAUGAUUAUGUAGUGAAAGAUUUAUUGGUAUAGGAGGAGUCUGCGGCACAUUAGCUAGUAGGUGAGGUAAAGGCUUACCUAGGCGACGAUGUGUAGCCGGUCUGAGAGGAUGAACGGCCACAAUGGAACUGAGACACGGUCCAUACUCCUACGGGAGGCAGCAGUGGGGAAUAUUGCACAAUGGGGGAAACCCUGAUGCAGCAACGCCGCGUGAGUGAAGAAGGUUUUCGGAUUGUAAAGCUCUGUUAGCAGGGAAGAGGAAGGACGGUACCUGCAGAGGAAGCCACGGCUAACUACGUGCCAGCAGCCGCGGUAAUACGUAGGUGGCAAGCGUUGUUCGGAAUAACUGGGCGUAAAGGAUGCGUAGGCGGUUAAACAAGUUAUAUGUUAAAUAUAUAGGCUUAACCUGUAGAAAGCAUAUAAAACUGUUUAACUAGAGUGCAGGAGAGGUAAGUGGAAUUCCUAGUGUAGCGGUGAAAUGCGUAGAGAUUAGGAAGAACACCAGUGGCGAAGGCGACUUACUGGACUGUAACUGACGCUGAGGCAUGAGAGCAUGGGGAGCAAACAGGAUUAGAUACCCUGGUAGUCCAUGCUGUAAACGAUGGGUACUAGGUGUGGGUUGUGAAAUAACAAUUCGUGCCGUCGCA